GCUUACGGCCAUACCAACCUGGCUAUGCCCGAUCUCGUCUGAUCUCGGAAAGCUAAGCAGGUUUGGGCCUGGUUUAGUACUUGGAUGGGAGACCGCCUGGGAAUACCGGGUGCUGUAAGCU
rnacentral:rRNA from 1 species